GGGCUGUAGCUCAGUGGUAGAGCACAUGUUUUGCAUGCCAAAGGUCAUGGGUUCAAUCCACAGUGUUCUCCA